CCGUGGUGGCUGCAGGGGGCCCAUGGUGGCUGCAGGGGGCCCGUGGUGGCUGCAGGGGGCCCAUGGUGGCUGCAGGGGGCCCGUGGUGGCUGCAGGGGGCCCAUGGUGGCUGCAGGGGGCCCGUGGUGGCUGCAGGGGGCCCGUGGUGGCUGCAGGGGGCCCAUGGAGGCUGCAGGGGGCCCGUGGUGGCUGCAGGGGGCCCGUGGUGGCUGCAGGGGGCCCGUGGUGGCUGCAGGGGGCCCAUGGUGGCUGCAGAGGUUCUGUGGAGGCUGCAGGGGGCCUGUGGAGGCUGCAGGGGGCGCAUCCUCUACUCGCCUGCCCUCUUGGUGUCAUCACAAGUCACUAGGUGCUUCACCAUGUGGCCCCUGUUUUGUAGAUGGAGAAAUCGAGGCACAGAGAAAUUAAGUGACUUCGCCACAGUCGCAGGCUGGGGAGGACCCGGACCAGAGCAGAGAGACCUGACUGUGGGCCUGUGUCCUGCCCACGGAGUCACGCUGCCUCCAUUCCUGGGAGAGAAGACUUCCUGCAAGAUGGAGGUGGACACCGAGGAGAAGCGGCAUCGCACGCGGUCCAAAGGGGUCCGAGGUACGCCCGUGCCUCCCGGCCCCCAGGGCCCUGCUGGGGUCACCUCCGUCCUGCAGAAGCCCUCAGGCUGGGCCUCUGGGUGGUUGUCUGUGGCCCGGGCGGGCGCAGGGCGGUGGGGCACGGCGGUGGAGGGGGAAUCUAGCGAUGGAAGAGAAAUGAGCGUCUCUUUUCCUCUCUCUGCAGUUCCCGUGGAGCCCGCCAUCCAGGAGCUGUUCAGGUCAGUGGUCCGCACGUGUGCCCAGCGGGGGUUCAGAGAAUGCACCCCUUGAUUGAGAGCGGGCAUCCGCGCUCCCCGGGCCCGGGGCUGCCCCCGCCCCCGCCCCCGUGGCCGGCCUUCCC
rnacentral:lncRNA from 1 species